rfam:Triticum aestivum genome assembly, contig: Triticum_aestivum_CS42_TGACv1_scaffold_606197_7DL
GCUGUACUCCCUCCGUUCGAAAUUACUUGUCACCAAAAUGGAUGUAUCUAAAACUAAAAUACAUCUAGAUACAUCAAUUUCAAUGACGAGUAUUUCCGAACGGAGGAAGUACUAG